rnacentral:rRNA from 1 species
CCUACGGUGUGCAUCAGUGAGGAAUAUUGGUCAAUGGGCGUAAGCCUGAACCCGCCAAGUCGCGUGAGGGAUGAAGGUUCUAUGGAUCGUACACCUCUUUUAUCAGGGAAUCAAGUGCGGGACGUGUCCCGUUUUGUAUGUACCUUCUGAAUAAGGAUCGGCUAACUCCGUGCCAGCAGCCGCGGUAAUACGGAGGAUCCGCGCGUUAUCCGGUUUUAUUGGGUUUAAAGGGUGCGUAGGCGGCCUUUUAAGUCAGCGGUGAAAGUCUGUGGCUCAACCAUAGAAUUGCCGUUGAAACUGGGAGGCUUGAGUAUGUUUGAGGCAGGCGGAAUGCGUGGUGUAGCGGUGAAAUGCUUAGAUAUCACGCAGAACCACGAGUGCGAAGGCAGCCUGCCAAGCCAUGACUGACGCUGAUGCACGAAAGCGUGGGGAUCAAACAGGAUUAGAUACCCCUGUAGUC